GACGAACGCUGGCGGCGUGCCUAAUACAUGCAAGUAGAACGCUGAAGAGAGGAGCUUGCUCUUCUUGGAUGAGUUGCGAACGGGUGAGUAACGCGUAGGUAACCUGCCUUGUAGCGGGGGAUAACUAUUGGAAACGAUAGCUAAUACCGCAUAACAAUGGAUGACCCAUGUCAUUUAUUUGAAAGGGGCAAAUGCUCCACUACAAGAUGGACCUGCGUUGUAUUAGCUAGUAGGUGAGGUAACGGCUCACCUAGGCGACGAUACAUAGCCGACCUGAGAGGGUGAUCGGCCACACUGGGACUGAGGCACGGCCCAGACUCCUACGGGAGGCAGCAGUAGGGAAUCUUCGGCAAUGGGGGCAACCCUGACCGAGCAACGCCGCGUGAGUGAAGAAGGUUUUCGGAUCGUAAAGCUCUGUUGUAAGUCAAGAACGAGUGUGAGAGUGGAAAGUUCACACUGUGACGGUAGCUUACCAGAAAGGGACGGCUAACUACGUG
rnacentral:rRNA from 1 species